rnacentral:rRNA from 1 species
CGGGACACGUGGUAUCCUGUCUGAAUAUGGGGGGACCAUCCUCCAAGGCUAAAUACUCCUGACUGACCGAUAGUGAACCAGUACCGUGAGGGAAAGGCGAAAAGAACCCCGGCGAGGGGAGUGAAAAAGAACCUGAAACCGUGUACGUACAAGCAGUGGGAGCACAGAGCAAUCUGUGUGACUGCGUACCUUUUGUAUAAUGGGUCAGCGACUUAUAUUCUGUAGCAAGGUUAACCGAAUAGGGGAGCCGAAGGGAAACCGAGUCUUAACUGGGCGUUAAGUUGCAGGGUAUAGACCCGAAACCCGGUGAUCUAGCCAUGGGCAGGUUGAAGGUUGGGUAACACUAACUGGAGGACCGAACCGACUAAUGUUGAAAAAUUAGCGGAUGACUUGUGGCUGGGGGUGAAAGGCCAAUCAAACCGGGAGAUAGCUGGUUCUCCCCGAAAGCUAUUUAGGUAGCGCCUCGUGAAUUCAUCUCCGGGGGUAGAGCACUGUUUCGGCAAGGGGGUCAUCCCGACUUACCAACCCGAUGCAAACUGCGAAUACCGGAGAAUGUUAUCACGGGAGACACACGGCGGGUGCUAACGUCCGUCGUGAAGAGGGAAACAACCCAGACCGCCAGCUAAGGUCCCAAAGUCAUGGUUAAGUGGGAAACGAUGUGGGAAGGCCCAGACAGCCAGGAUGUUGGCUUAGAAGCAGCCAUCAUUUAAAGAAAGCGUAAUAGCUCACUGGUCGAGUCGGCCUGCGCGGAAGAUGUAACGGGGCUAAACCAUGCACCGAAGCUGCGGCAGCGACACUAUGUGUUGUUGGGUAGGGGAGCGUUCUGUAAGCCUGUGAAGGUGUGCUGUGAGGCAUGCUGGAGGUAUCAGAAGUGCGAAUGCUGACAUAAGUAACGAUAAAGCGGGUGAAAAGCCCGCUCGCCGGAAGACCAAGGGUUCCUGUCCAACGUUAAUCGGGGCAGGGUGAGUCGACCCCUAAGGCGAGGCC